rnacentral:rRNA from 1 species
UACGUAGGUGGCAAGCGUUGUCCGGAAUUAUUGGGCGUAAAGCGCGCGCAGGCGGUCCUUUAAGUCUGAUGUGAAAGCCCACGGCUCAACCGUGGAGGGUCAUUGGAAACUGGGGGACUUGAGUACAGAAGAGGAAAGCGGAAUUCCACGUGUAGCGGUGAAAUGCGUAGAGAUGUGGAGGAACACCAGUGGCGAAGGCGGCUUUCUGGUCUGUAACUGACGCUGAGGCGCGAAAGCUAGGGGAGCAAACGGG